CCAACAGAAGCCCAAGAAGGACGCCAAAACUUGUCAUUCUCAUGUCCGGCAGGGAUUGUUACUGAAAGAUCUGAAAAUUGUUUCCCCGCCGCUCGUUCUACAUGGAAUCAGGCGUCUUGUUUUCCGAAAGUGGUACGUAGCGCAAAACCAGGACCGUUCACCGAGUUGUGCAUAGCAAGAACCUUCCACCUCUCUUGCACUUCCGUGCUUAUGUUGCGUACAAAUGCCCUCACCUGAGCUCUCCGACGCCGUCGUGUAUUGGCUACACAAUUGUUUAUUACAAUGAAGGUUUUAGGAAACUUAAUGCAGUGAAUGAAGUAAAAGCAGAGUUAGGACCGUUGCUUUCUCCUUUGGUAAUGCACAUCACCGCAGACCAACAUUUUCACAUGCAUCGGGUACUUGACUUUGACCGCACUUGACCUCAACUCAAUCAUUCAUUUGUAUGAACGUCAAUAUUUAUUUAUUUGGCUGCAAUGAGUAGUUUCAGUCAAAUUUGUUGAAUAGUGUUGACUUUCCUGUCUAAAGCCAUCUCCUGCCAUCCAAGACUGAGGAAAUAUCACUGAAUCCAAUAAGAUAACAAAGUAACAUCAAACCAGCAGGAAGAAAAACAAAAGAAAAUUUUUUUCUUGAAACAAAAAUGACUGAUGCCAUUUAAAAAUACAAAAAAGUUAAUUAAUUAGCCAAUAGAUUUAAAGUAAAAUCACGAUGAAAUGCAUCCAGAAUCAUAAAAUCAGAAAGUACAUGAAUAAAGGAGUAGCUAAUUUACAUUUGCUCACGUCAGUACCCUACACUGCUGAACAGAGGAAGGCUUGGAUCUGUGCUGCUGCUUUGACAGAGUCACUGCAGGGAAUGAACACUGGCAUGUAAAGAGGGCAAAUGCAGCACUGACACAAACAGCAACAAAAAAGCAGUUAAAAUUUUAAAAUUUACAAACGUGCACAAAAGCACAGAUUCUCUAGGCUCACCAGAUACUCAACUCCUGCCUUCCUCUUGUCCUUGUUGCGGUCGGUAUGAGGAGCUUCUGAUGAUGUAUUACAGGACAGAAUGUCCACUGCCACAGUAUUGCUGUUGUUCAGGUCCCUGAAUUAAUUUUCAGAAUAUCAAAUUAGGAAUGUUUCAGCUUUAAUAGUGAAGAGAACUUAACCACACAAAGCUGCGUAUCUGAGGAGCCUAUAGAGUCUGUGGCAAAGGUCUGAUUGUACUCUACACCCCUGUCACAUGACCCUAAAGACGGCCGUGCCUAAAGAGGUGAGAGGUGGUGACGAUUCUAGGUGCCCACAACUUGGGGGGGGGGGGGGGGG